rnacentral:tRNA from 1 species
CGCUCGGUAGCUUAGCUGGUUAAGCGCUCGUCUAGCAUACAAGAGUCCUGGGUUCGAAUCCCAGCCGAGCAC